rnacentral:rRNA from 1 species
UACGUAGGGGGGCAAGCGUUGUCCGGAAUCAUUGGGCGUAAAGAGCGUGUAGGCGGCUUGGUAAGUCCGCUGUGAAAGUCCAGGGCUCAACCCUGGAAUGCCGGUGGAAACUGUCAAGCUUGAGUCCGGAAGAGGCGAGUGGAAUUCCUGGUGUAGCGGUGAAAUGCGCAGAUAUCAGGAGGAACACCGGUGGCGAAGGCGGGUCUCUGGGCCGAUACUGACGCUGAGGAGCGAAAGCGUGGGGAGCGAACAGG